rnacentral:rRNA from 1 species
GGAGGGUGCAAGCGUUGCUCGGAAUUACUGGGCGUAAAGGGCGUGUAGGCGGUCUAAGCAGUCCGGUGUGAAAGCCCUCGGGCUCAACCGAGGAAGUGCGCCGGAAACCAUUAGACUAGAGAACCCGGAGGGGAGCGUGGAAUUCCCAGUGUAGAGGUGAAAUUCGUAGAGAUUGGGAGGAAUACCGGUGGCGAAGGCGACGCUCUGGAUGGUUUCUGACGCUGAGACGCGACAGCGUGGGUAGCAAACAGGAUUAGAUACCCUGGUAGUCCACGCCGUAAACGAUGGAUACUAGGUGUUGGGAGAUUUGACCCUCUCAGUGCCGACGCAAACGCAUUAAGUAUCCCGCCUGGGAAGUACGGUCGCAAAGGCUG